UAGGGAAUCUUCCACAAUGGGCGAAAGCCUGAUGGAGCAACGCCGCGUGCGUGAUGAAGGGUUUCGGCUCGUAAAACACUGUUGUAAGAGAAGAAUGACAUUGAGAGUAACUGUUCAUACGUUGACGGUAUUUAACCAGAAAGGAACGGCUAAAUACGUGCUAG
rnacentral:rRNA from 1 species